rnacentral:misc_RNA from 1 species
AUAUAAUCAACCUUCUCUUGUUUUGAGAAUGGUUUGGAUGUGGGGGGUUUGCUGGCCUCUCUCAAAAGGUUCAGCUCCCCUGAAAUGCAUUAGCAGAACAACCUUUGCUCAUUGGUGUGAUAACUAUCUACGCUUAUGAAUAUGAGGGGCAGUUCAGCUUUCUAACGGUCUUUGGACAAUUCAUCAUUA